rnacentral:rRNA from 1 species
CAGUCGCCGCGGGAAUACGUAGGUGGCAAGCGUUGUCCGGAAUUAUUGGGCGUAAAGCGCGCGCAGGUGGUUUAAUAAGUCUGAUGUGAAAGCCCACGGCUCAACCGUGGAGGGUCAUUGGAAACUGUUAAACUUGAGUGCAGGAGAGAAAAGUGGAAUUCCUAGUGUAGCGGUGAAAUGCGUAGAGAUUAGGAGGAACACCAGUGGCGAAGGCGGCUUUUUGGCCUGUAACUGACACUGAGGCGCGAAAGCGUGGGGAGCAAACAGGAUUAGAUACCCGCGUAGUCCCUGUCUCUUAUAU